UAGUUCAAAAUAAGAGAUUACUUGGAAGACUUAAAAGCAUUGAGGGCAUGAAGAAUUCUGGAUGUUUAUGAAAAGAAAAUGCCAGUCAUAGGAGAGCAGCACCCAUGUCAGCCUCUUCUCUUUCAUCUUUGUUUCCUCCUUCUCAGAAGCAGAAAUGCAGUCCCAGAAGCCUAACUAUACUCUGAAUCAAUUCACUUUAUCUCUCCUGAGGCUAUGCUGCAAAAACACUGCUCAUAUUCUUCCAGCCACUUAGUCUCUUUUUCUCAUUUCAAACUUCAAAA